CAGAACAUCACGGCAUUUGUUGUGGUAAAUAGUUCAGUGGCAAAGCGCCCGUUCCAUCUGCGGACCUCCAAAUGACCCUGAAUGCAGAGGUACAGAAAAGCUUUCCAUGCUCAUCCAGCCCAUCUCUGGUUACAUGAUAAGAAACGAGGCUGACACAGCAAUAUAAAUGUGACUACUCGCUAAGAAUGACCGCGGGUCAGGCCACAGGAUCCAGGGGAUACCCGGUAACAGAAGCUGUCAUAUUUAUCGCUGGCGUCUUCAGAGCCAGCUUGAGUAGCUGGAGACAGAGCACACAAAAGGACUAUUCAGUGCAGCCCAUGGUCUGAAAUGAAACAGAUGCGCUGUGGAAGUUUGCAAACUCCCCGGCACAGAAGGUUGGCAGAUCUGCGCUCUGUAACCAGGGCCCAUCUUCUUGGCAGAGCGCUCCGCACCCCGGUGCCAGUGGCACUGCUCCUGCUGUGCAGACGAAGGGCGGUCUGGAGGACAAAGCACUCAGCUUGGCAGUUAAAGGCAGGGAGAACUAAACCAAGGCUGAGAGCCCACUUGAGCUUUUAAGCCCUCCCACCAAUUUUGGAUGGUAAGCUGGUAUUUCAGGAAUUAGUACAACCAAAGGCACCUGGUCUGGUUUUACGGACUGGAACGCUCUUGGAAAGCAAUCAGAUACGAUUUGGACAAAAACAAUGGAGGCCCAGACACAGAGGCUGCCCUGGGAGAGUAUACCAGCUGUCUGCUCAGUUUCAAACCUCUAAUCAUGUUCUUGGAGAGAAAGCAAGGGGACCUGUUAGGGGUUGCCGAGCUCCGAGCUCAGGGCCAGGUCCAGGCGGCGGAGCCCGCGAGAGGGAGUCCUCCCAGCACACAGCACCUCGGACUUGAAUUUCUGGCACCCGGACAGCAGUAAAUGAGACCGAGUUUCUGAAUAUUCGCCACGGGCUGAGGACGAGGCGAGGGGAUUAAAAACGGUGGCACAAGCUAAGAUGAAAUAGUGGAAGUGGGGAGAGCAGUGGGAUGAAGGCUGGCAGCGCACAGAUGGGCAGAGCACCUGCUGGCAUGGCACGCAUCGCUCCCAGGGAAUCCAGACUACUGGUACUGCCUCAAAGCAAAUCAAAGCCUCAGACAGAAAUAGCCAAAGCCCUGCCAUGCCCUCCUUCAACUCUUUAAAAACAUCUUUGCCCCUGCUUGCAAACUACACAGGAGCAUUCAACAGCUGGCAGACUGCAAAGCCGCGCCUUCACAGAUCAUUCCAAGAGACCCUGGUGCUCUCCCCAUUGAUUUCCUUAGGCCACGCUUUGUCUCAAUGCAACGUGUGACAUCACCUGGAGAUACCUCACUUUGCCUUCCAUUCACCCCAGUGAGAUGCAGGCAAUUACCUGAGCCUUUUGUUAGGAGUCUAAUCCUCUUGGGCCCUGCAGAAGAUCAGCAGUGUUUCCAAAGGUGAUUCAGCCCACCCCAUCGGCCUCUGUGCUACUAACAUGGGUACACCAAACAUGAAGAGGGGUGAAGUCAUCCAGCUCUGUGCACACACGAUUCCUAUCUCUGUACAGGACCUCCUGUUGCUGCCACCAAGCUCCCAAACCAGCACGCCCCAUACAGAGCCCUGACACCUUGCUCUGCAGCAUGUUCAAUGCCCUGCACUGAUGCCCUGAAUCUGUUCCCUUUCUGCUGAGCCCCUGGCCCUCCCUGUCAUCACCAGGAGAGACAGAUGCUCUCAAAGCAAUAUUCGAUCUGCCAGGAGCCUAAGUUGCCUCCUGCACCUUAUUUCUCUCUGCUGACCCAAAGGAACGCUUGGUGGAACAGAACUGUGACCCAGGACACGCAAUCUUGUGCUUCAUGUUACAGCAAAUCUACAGCUAAGAGCUUGCACAUGCAGAGUGAGAGAAUAAGAACUGCUCUGGAGUACUUGCACUAUAAAAUGCUGCACACCUGAGAGAUUUUUGGACUCCAAGUAAGCCACAAAUAUGAAGUGUGAAUGGUUUACACUGGCACCUGGUCUUCUCAGCAGCUCAAUAUGCAUAAACGAUGUUGAAGUUAACCAAAAGAACGAUCAAGGCACCAGAAAGCUAUCAUAGAAGUGAGUCCUGGUUAUGGGAACUGUAAGAAACCAAACCUUUUGAGGAGUGUGAUUCAAAUCCUGACCACCAGAUUAAGGCAUAACUUCUCCUGAAGCCACCCAAGAGACAGGCUUGCACCAAUUGCAGAUCUGGUCCUGUUUGAAACGCUUUCAAAGAAACCAAACUGCAUUCGGUUUCUUAGGAACUGCCCCAGAUCUCACAUUACCAGCAUCCAAAGACAGAAAUCAAAGCACAGCAUACUUCAAGGCCCACAUUCAGCCCUCAGGAUGCUACUCACAGAACUCAGAGUCACUCCAGGGAAGAGGCUGACUGAUCACGGCGGUGAUUCUAUGACAUCUGCAAUGCACAGCACUGCUGCUGCCUUUGAACACAACUUCAGCCUCGCCUCAGCGAUCCCUCCUUUGUGGUGGCAUUCCCUUCUCAUCCAGCUGCCAAAAGGAGAUCUGAAAUGAACAUCAUAAACAUUGAUUUUUUUUCCUGCUAAGCAUCCAAAACCAUAUCCGAGAUAAACAAACAAAGCAAAACACUUGGCCCGAACCAUAUCCUGGCUCCAAACAAAUCUGGAUAAGAAAUUUGUGGUUGAGAUCUGUUCAUAUUAAACCCAGUGAAGUAAAUAUAUCUCACAUGUGGCCAUUUCUGUGAUUCCAGAGACCCAAAGUAUUCUGUGGCUUGGUUAACAUCCUUUGCCAUCAUUCUGGAUGUGACUCGUGGGUAGGUCUGUGCCAUAGGGCCAGGGACACCCCGGUUGUGUCUGAGAGCACUAACCCAGACCCAGAGACACCAAGCAGCAUGGAGGAAGAUGUAGGUAUUACAUGGGCAGUCUAAUUUCUGGAAUCAGAGCAUCUCUGUGACCCUGCGCCAGAACCAGCUUGGGAUCUAAUCCGCCCCAGGGACAUGCCCCUGAGGCCUGGGCACAUCUCACUUACCUUUAGGAACCUGCCCGAAGUGCCUCAGGUGAGAGACAUCCCCAAGGCACUCAUGCAAUCAACAGCCAGAGGUACCUUUGGAGAUGCCAAUCUCUCGCAUUAGCUACAACGCCUUAGGGCAGUUCAAGCCCAAUGAUCUAAGCCAGCCAGUGCCUCAGAUCCAGCUUUCCUUUGUGCUCUGCUAUCCUGGCAGUUGUUUGGCUCCUGCCCAGAAAUGGAGCACCUUGGGGAUCUCGCAUCACAGCCCAAGCUUUCCAAAUAGCAUUAUCUGCAAAGCCGUAAGGACGUAUGUGGAUCAUCAGUUCUCAUACAGAGCAUCUUUCCUUCCCAUCGAUUUUCCAUCACUGCUCUAACUUCCAGGAAACACAAGGGAUUUCCUGUGGCACGUGGGACUCGAUGGCAGGACACUGCUAAAGCCAAAGACGAUGAGAGGCUGCAGAGCUCCAAAUGUGCUGCACCUUGUGCUCGCAGCUUCCACCGAGUUCAACUUUUGCCUAAAAAGAACUAAUUAACACCGGACAGCCCCGCAGCAAUUCCUCAUCUGCUCUGGAGCAGAGGAGCCCAUCACUAUGGUGAUACAACAUUAAAGGGCUGGGUCCAAAAUGCUUUUCUGGCAGGAAGACGCACGCACCAGGCCAGAAUCGGGGAUGCCAGGCGAGCUGCUUGUAACUCUGGAGGAGAUGCUCCAGGCUUACCCCAGUGUCACUGAGAUUAGCCCUGGCCCGCGGCCUUUGAGGACAGCUCCAUCCCGGCAGGCAGAUGGCUCGCCUUC
ensembl:lncRNA